AGCAGUAGCCACGGUAAUACGGAGGGCGCGAGCGUUACCCGGAUUUACUGGGCGUAAAGGGCGUGUAGGCGGCCUGGGGCGUCCCAUGUGAAAGGCCACGGCUCAACCGUGGAGGAGCGUGGGAUACGCUCAGGCUAGAGGGUGGGAGAGGGUGGUGGAAUUCCCGGAGUAGCGGUGAAAUGCGCAGAUACCGGGAGGAACGCCGAUGGCGAAGGCAGCCACCUGGUCCACUUCUGACGCUGAGGCGCGAAAGCGUGGGGGGCAAACCGGAUUAGAGACCCGAGUAGUCCCUGUCUCUUAUAC
rnacentral:rRNA from 1 species